rnacentral:misc_RNA from 1 species
UCUCCGUUGGUGAACCAGCGGAGGGAUCAUUACCAGAGUUUUACAACUCCCAACCCUUCUGUGAACCUACCUAUCGUUGCUUCGGCGGACUCGCCCCAGCGCCCGGACGGCCCCGCGCCGGCCCGCGACCUGGACCCUGGCGGCCGCCGGAGACCACACAAACCAGUAUCCAUCAGUCUCUCUGAUACAGCGGCAAGGUAAAACAAACGAGUCAAAACUUUCAACAAUGGAUCUCUUGGUUCUG